AACGCACGAGACCUGCGGACCUGCGGAAGGAUCAUUACUGAAGUGCUUGGAGAUGUUGCUGGCUUCUUUCCAGAGGCAACGUGCACUCUUCCAACUCUCGUGAUUUCACACACACCCCUUUGUGCACCUUUUGUAGGGCCCCUCACAACAAAGCCUUGAGAGGGUGACCCCUAUGUCCUUUGCCACUUACGCAUGUUGGAAUGGUUUUUAUGACGAAGUGAAACAACUUUUAACAACGGA
rnacentral:misc_RNA from 1 species